rnacentral:rRNA from 1 species
AUACAUGCAAGUCGAGCGAACAGAUAAGGAGCUUGCUCCUUUGACGUUAGCGGCGGACGGGUGAGUAACACGUGGAUAACCUACCUAUAAGACUGGGAUAACUUCGGGAAACCGGAGCUAAUACCGGAUAACAUAUUGAACCGCAUGGUUCAAUAGUGAAAGGCGGCUUUGCUGUCACUUAUAGAUGGAUCCGCGCCGUAUUAGCUAGUUGGUAAGGUAACGGCUUACCAAGGCAACGAUACGUAGCCGACCUGAGAGGGUGAUCGGCCACACUGGAACUGAGACACGGUCCAGACUCCUACGGGAGGCAGCAGUAGGGAAUCUUCCGCAAUGGGCGAAAGCCUGACGGAGCAACGCCGCGUGAGUGAUGAAGGUCUUCGGAUCGUAAAACUCUGUUAUCAGGGAAGAACAAAUGUGUAAGUAACUGUGCACAUCUUGACGGUACCUGAUCAGAAAGCCACGGCUAACUACGUGCCAGCAGCCGCGGUAAUAC